UUUUAAGUCAAAUCUGCCCAAUGAAUAAAUUUAAAUAGCUGCAGUACAAAUAACUGUACUAAGGUAGCAUAAUAAUUUGUUUUUUAAUUAAAAACUAGAAUAAACGAUUUAAUGAAAUAUAAACUAUAUAAAUAUAAUAAAUUAAAAUUAUUAUUUAAGUAAAAAAACUUAAAUAAAUUUAAUAGACGAUAAGACCCUAUAAAAUUUUAUUUUAUUAUAAAUUAAAAGUUAAAAUAAUUUAUUUUUAUAUUUAAUAAUAAAAUUUAAUUGGGGUAAUUUAAAAAUUUAAAAAACUUUUUAAAAAAUAAACUUUAAUUUAAGAAAAAUAAAUUUUAAAUUUUAAAAUAUAAAAUUAAUUACUUUAGGGAUAACAGCAUAA
rnacentral:rRNA from 1 species